UACGGAGGGGGCUAGCGUUGUUCGGAAUUACUGGGCGUAAAGGGCGCGUAGGCGGCUUAUCAAGUCAGGCGUGAAAUUCCCGGGCUCAACCUGGGGGCUGCGCUUGAUACUGAUGAGCUUGAAUGCGGGAGAGGAUAGUGGAAUUCCCAGUGUAGAGGUGAAAUUCGUAGAUAUUGGGAAGAACACCGGUGGCGAAGGCGGCUAUCUGGCCCGUAAUUGACGCUGAGGAGCGAAAGCCAGGGGAGCAAACGGG
rnacentral:rRNA from 1 species